AGCAGCCGCGGUAAUUCCAGCUCCAAUAGCGUAUAUUAAAGUUGUUGCAGUUAAAAAGCUCGUAGUUGAAUUUCGGGACCAGUAUGUCGGUCGUGCUUCGGUACGUACUUGCAUUAUUGGUUUCUCCCUUCUGACGAACCAUGAUGUCAUUAAUUUGAUGUCAUGGGGAAUCAGGACUGUUACUUUGAAAAAAAUUAGAGUGUUUAAAGCAGGCUCGCGCUUGAAUACAUUAGCAUGGAAUAAUGAAAUAGGACGUUUGAUUCUAUUUUGUUGGUUUCUAGGAUCGACGUAAUGAUUAAUAGGGAUAGUUGGGGGCAUUAGUAUUCAAUUGUCAGAGGUGAAAUUCUUGGGUUUAUUGAAGACUAACUACUGCGAAAGCAUUUGCCAAGGAUGUUUUCAUUAAUCAAGAACGAAAGUUAGGGGAUCGAAGACGAUCAGAUACCGUCGUAG
rnacentral:rRNA from 1 species